GAGACGCCAAAUUCAUACACGAACGCUAGAAAAUGCUAAUACACUUUGCGGUAUUUCUAUCACCUCCAGUAUCUUAUUACAUUCAUAAGGACAGGGAAUUAAGCUAGGGGGCCAUUUUAGUUUAACUCGUUGCUUGACAUGGACUUACGUCGGAGGGAGGAAAGGUGUAGUCCUGGAUGCCCUUUGGUUCAACAUCGUACCUAUUCUGUAGACGGGAUAGAAGCCAAGAAGACAUCGCUGCUUGAAUGAAUACGACACAAACUAUCCCUAGACGAU